AUUGAACGCUGGCGGCAGGCCUAACACAUGCAAGUCGAACGAGUGGCGGACGGGUGAGUAAUGUCGGGGAAACUGCCUGAUGGAGGGGGAUAACUACUGGAAACGGUAGCUAAUACCGCAUACCAUCAGAUGUGCCCAGAUGGGAUUAGCUAGUUGGUGGGGUAACGGCUCACCAAGGCGACGAGCCCUAGCUGGGCUGCGAGGAUGACCAGCCACACUGGAACUGUGAAACGGGCCAGCCGCCGACGUGAGGCAGCAGUGGGGAAUAGUGCACAAUGGGCGCAAGCCUGAUGCAGCCAUGCCGCGUGUAUGAAGAAGGCCCUCGGGUUGUAAGGUACUUUCAGCGGGGAGGCGUUACCCGCAGAAGAAGCACCGGCUAACUCCGUGCCAGCAGCCGCGGUAAUUC
rnacentral:rRNA from 1 species